CGCUGAAACACUGGCUCCCGUACGAUUACUGAAGUUAAACAAUGUCGAGCCUGGUAAGUACCUAGACACGUAACCGCUUGGGAAUAUCAAAUGCUGUAAG